UAUUCUAACACACAUUGCUACACAAUUUCGGUUAUAUUUCUCAGAUCUAGGUAUGACUUCCAGAACAAGUCUAUCUGGGUCUCUACGGGUUCGCAAAUUUAUAUCGCAGACUCUUUUGAACAACGUAAAAUGUUUCUUGACAAAAGUACAUAUUUCUAAAAUAUACAAAGACGGUAAUGGUAACAAACCAAACUCUAUAAAUAAGGGUCUACACGAUUUGUCGGAUGGUAUCCCAGCUAUAGCUCUAAUACAUUUUUUUUGCGCGAUGAAGGCUCUAUUAAAAUCUGUACUAUUUCCCCACGCUAUGAGGCCGUAGCGCAGAAUCGAUUCAACAUAGGCAUGGUAAGACACUAGUGCUGUUGAUAUAUUAGUCACUUUCCUAACUUGUUUCAAUGCAUAUACAAACCGAUUGAUUCUUAUACAGAGAUCAUCUACAUGUGCCUUCCAAUUAAUGUCUUGGUCGAUUGUUAUACCUAAAAAUUUUGUUUCGGAUGCCUUCUUGAUUGCUACAUUUCCAACAUUUAUAUUUAAAUUAAAAUUAUAUUGUAAGUGUUUGGAUUGAUUAAAUUGUAUGUAAUUAGUUUUAUUCAGAUUAAUUGUCAAAUUAUUGUUGUCAAGCCAUUGGAUAGUAUUAUGUAAAGUAUUGUUUAUGUCAAUUUCGUGGUCCUUAAUUGUAUUUAUUUUUUUGUCAGUGGUUAUAAUUAUUGUAAUGUCAUCAGCAAAUAGAAUACAUUUAUGAUUUGUUACGUCAGAUAAAUUAUUUAUGUAUAAUAAGAAUAGGGUGGGUCCCAAUACACUCCCUUGUGGGACUCCACUCUUGUUUUGUCUUUCGUCAGACGAGUAAAAUAAAAGAUCUUUAUUUUUGGUUAAUCCGCUAAUGACUACUUUCUGUUUGCGGUUUGAUAAGUAUGAUGCAAGCCAUGUGUACGCAGGCCCCCUAAUGCCAACUUCAUGAAUUUUGGUAAGUAGUUUCUCAUGGGAGAUAUGGUCGAAUGCUUUCGACAAAUCAAGAAACAGUGCAGUAGUCAACUUAUCGUCAUUCACACUAUUUAAAACAUGAUGCAUUAGCGAAAAAAUUGCUGUAGAAGUUGAUUUCAAUUUUUGAAAGCCGUACUGUUCACUGUUGAUUAAAUUGUAUUUGGUUAUGAAGUUUGUGAGUCUAUCAUGCAUACACUUUUCAAAUAAUUUUGACCAAACUGAAAUCAAGGUGAUCGGGCGAUAAUUGUCAACACAUUCUUUACACCCCUUUUUAUGAAGUGGCUUUACGAUAGAUAAUUUUAACACCUCUGGAAAAAUUCCCGAUUCAAAUGAGAAGUUUACCAGAUGAGUCACAACUGCUAUAAUUUUUUCAAUGCAAGUUUUCAAUAUUUUUGUAGUAAUUUCGUCAUAGCCCACUGAUUGUGUACCUUUUAAGGACAUAACUAUACUUUUAAUUUCCUUACGUGUCAUAGGUUUCAAAAAUAUUGAGUUACUUUGUUUAUUUUUGUUAUUAAUUAACACAUUACGUUUAUUAUUUAUAUUCGAAGUCAAAUUAAUGAAAUGUCCAUUAAAUGCAUUUGCAAUGUCUGUAGGGUCCGUUAUAAUAACAUUAUCAAUUUUUAUAUUGUCAAUACUAUUUAGAUUCAUGUUAUUGCCUAUUUCAUUUUUAAUUAUAGUCCACGAUGCUCUACAUUUAUUAUUGCUGUUAUUUAUAUAUUUAAUGUUAGCAUUCUUUCUUGAUUUAGUUAUACAUUUUUGUAGGAUGUUAGAGUAUAUUUUGUAUUUAUUUUUGCUUAAAUUUGAUUUAUAUUUGUAAUGUUGGUAACGUAAGUAUCUUUUUCUCUUGCAACUAACUCGAAGGCCAUUACUAAUCCAAUUAUGUCUCGUUUUCUUAAUAUUGUUUACCUUUUUUUUAACUUUUGGAAAACAUAAUU